GAGUCAAAGAAAGGUUGCUGAGGCUUUGACUGUUUCCAAGGAAGUAGUCAAAGAAAGUCAUUAGAGUUCAUUGCAGGGAAUGUAGUAAAACAGUUUAAAAAUAAAAACUAUAACUGGGACAAAAGAGAAUGUGAGAUGUGUUGUGUAGAAUUUUUUUUAACAUAAACCAAUUAGUGGAUUAACAUAGGUAAAUAACAGUUACCACAAAAUUAGCAACAAAUGUUUGCUUAAUUACUUAGGCAAACUCCAAUGAUUGGAUUAGCGCAGGUAUGUAUGGUUUUAGUUAUAUAAGACUACAAUUAAAUUUGGAUUAUAUAUUAUUAGUUUUAAAAAGUAUUGUAAUGUUGUAAAUUGUAAUUAUUUGAUAUGUGCAGAAUCAAUUCUCACAUCCGCAUGAUUUGCAGGGUCAACAUCAAAAAAAAAUAUCAGGUGAUUGAAUAUAAUGUUUUUAGGUUUAUAUUAUAAUAUAUUUGUUUAAUAAGUAGCUAAUUGAAAAUGGUGACUGAAAUUAGAUCAUUAACAAACACAUAUAUUUGACAAUUUUACCCUUAUAGUUAAAGUACGUUUUCCCUAAUGGAAUGGAAUGGACCAUUCCUAAAGAAAGAUGAUUCAUUCCAUUUUGUUAUUUUCAUUGUCUUUUUUAUUUCAUUCCAUCAUUGAUAUAACCCUUAUGUUAUUUCUCUGAUUUUUAAUGACACAUCUUUUUGAAAAUUUUACCCUUAUAGCUAAAAAGAGUAAAGUAGGUUGUGAUUUCCUUCGAUUUAUCCUUGUAGUUAGGAUAAUGUAUCAAAUAUAGAUAAAAUUAUAAUUUGUAGAAUACCAAAACCAAAAACUACAACAGAUUCACCUGCACUUUUUAACCUUUUUUUGGUUUUCAGUCUACGGAGGUUGGCAAUUUCAGUGACCUUUUAGGGGCAAAUAUUUUUUGUCUGGAUUCCGAGAUAUUUAAUAUUUGACGAUGAUAUCAUAUUACUUUUCGGUUUGUUAUAUGAAUCUCAACAAUCUGUGAGUUUUGUUAAUCUUCACGCUUUUCCUUCCAAAAUUUAUCCCACAGCUUUAACGUUUUGUCAUUUUCUCUCAAAACUUGACAGAAUUCACAGGAAAUUACAAUCAAAAGUAAUCAGAUCUUUUUUUUUUUAAAUAAGACUAAUUUCCAGUUUCUCUAUCCACUUUGCAGCCUUCCCUACAACAAAGGUUAAAAGGAUUUCAAGAGAAAUUGGAGGUGUCUUUUAUGGAAUUUCAAUCUUGGACCUUACAUGGGAACCAAUUCAUUUCUGAAAUAAGUUCUCAGCUCUAGGAUUUCACGUAUGUAAGUUUUUAGUUAUGGAAACUUAGUUAUCAAAUUUGCUUUAGGCUUCACUAUCUGUAAUUCUAUGAUAUUAGUAGCUAUAGUUUAUCCAAAUGAAAAUUUUAUAAUGUUUGCUUCCGAUUUCUUGCUGAUAUUUUCCAUGAGUUGCAAAGUGACAACACCUUCUGUAAGGGGCUCAGCAGAUUCGUUAUUCAAAGGUCAUAAGACGAUAUGAAACCAUUAUCAU
rnacentral:lncRNA from 1 species